GAUGAACGCUGGCGGCGUGCCUAAUACAUGCAAGUCGAGCGAACGGACGAUAAGCUUGCUUCUCUGCUGUUAGCGGCGGACGGGUGAGUAACACGUGGAUAACCUACCUAUAAGACUGGGAUAAUUUCGGGAAACCGGAGCUACUACCGGCUAAUAUUUUGAACCGCAUGGUUCAAAAGUGAAAGACGGUCUUGCUGUCACUUAUAGAUGGAUCCGCGCUGCAUUAGCUAGUUGGUAAGGUAACGGCUUACCAAGGCAACGAUGCAUAGCCGACCUGAGAGGAUGAUCGGCCACACUGGAACUGAGACACGGUCCAGACUCCUACGGGAGGCAGCAGUAGGGAAUCUUCCGCAAUGGGCGAAAGCCUGACGGAGCAACGCCGCGUGAGUGAUGAAGGUCUUCGGAUCGUAAAACUCUGUUAUUAGGGAAGAACAGAUGUGGAAGUAACUGUGCACAUCUUGACGGUACCUAAUCAGAAAGCCACGGCUAACUACGUG
rnacentral:rRNA from 1 species